CGCCGAUUCGUGCACUUUAAUAUUCCCUACUGCCCUGGCCGGUCGAGAACAGGAGGAAGUUAGGGCUAAAAGCCGGCUGCCCAAGAUGGCACUACAAGCAAAGCCGCGAUAGCAGGUCCCGUGCCGGUUAAGUACAACUGGCCUUUGUUGCUAUACUUCGGCGGCUAAGGAUUUGCUGGGGCCGCCUACCGAUACAGCGGCCUUAGUCGUGGAAAUCGGAGGCCGUCAUCGUCGAAGUAGGGUCUACUAUAUUAGAAGAAAGUCUAUGAGCGUGAAGAAGGACACUUCAGGGAACACGCGAAGGUUUGGCAGACGUUCAGUACCGCGUGGUGUAAUUGGUCGUAGUCAAAGCACGCGACCGUGGACCUCGAAAGGUUCGCUUGUUCCAGCUGGUACCAGGAGCACGGUGCGUUCAUAGUCCUCCUGGCUGCCUUCCGCACAAGAUCUAAUGAGUCAUAGAAGUCGAAGGUCGGUCCCCUUUCGUUCACACACCUCGAAUAGAAGGCUUUCCUUAAAGUAGGGAUACCCUAGGGACACAAGUCGUAAGGAGAGGUAACACUACCGGACUAUAACUAGGGAACGUAUUACCCCUUUUAAAAGUAGACGUUGGGCCGGUGAUCUCUCAAACAACUCAACGGUGGACCUUCGGGUUCACAAGAGAAACUCGUGUCCCAGCGGAAACCGAAACUAGGAACCUCACCAUGGAUGUUCCACCGCUCCGUGAAGUAGGCGAGCAUGUCUCUAUGAGACGUUUAUCUACCCCUUCCUCCGUGGUGAUCUCUUAUGUCGUCACCUGUACUCUAGAAUUGUAAGCCACCACUGUCGUUUCUUCUUCGAACCCAUACCUUCCGGUGACACCUAGGUGGUAUGGGAUAGUUCCGGUCCUGAGGUUAAACAGAGGGUCCCCAGAAGAAAACCUCACGAGAGUUCAGGUACCGUGUACCGUUCCAAUAGAGCUUACAGUAGGAAGCUAAAUCAAAUGAACUACUUUGUAAAUGCCACGUGGGAUUGGGAGGUACAUCACUAGUAGAUCCGUUCUUACUACGUGAUAGACGUGAUCCACCUUUCAAUACGAUAUAGGUGAGAGGGUGAGGCACCCUCUAACGGUAAACCAAUCGCCUUCUACCCGGUUUAGAUUGAACCAGUGAUACGGCGGCACAGUCAGACGGCUAUGGUUCUUUAGA
rnacentral:rRNA from 1 species